rnacentral:RNase_P_RNA from 1 species
CACGCAGACCGCCUUAUCGCUUUAUGAUGAACUUAUUUCAGUAUCUUAUGUUUUUUGUUUAAUUUCAUAAGAUUCCGAAUCAAGUUCGGAAUAGAGAGGAAAGUCCGGACACCAUAGAGAAGCAUAGCGGAUAACAUCCGUCGAUUUCAUCUUUAUUGCUGAGAUUAGGACCAGUGCAACAGAAAGUAUGUACAGAUAAUGCUGUAGUGAAACCAGGUAAACUCUAUGCGGUGAAAUUUCAAGUAUAUCGACAUUUAAGGAUUUCUCGUCCGUUGUCGAAGGGUAGAAAGAUGGAUCUCGCGGGUAACUUCGAGACUAGAUAAAUGAUAAGGAAAUGCUAAAGUUAAUUUAGUAUUUACAGAAUCCGGCUUACAGGUCUGCAUUUUUU